UUAAGCGACUAAGCGUACACGGUGGAUGCCCUGGCAGUCAGAGGCGAUGAAGGACGUGCUAAUCUGCGAUAAGCGUCGGUAAGGUGAUAUGAACCGUUAUAACCGGCGAUUUCCGAAUGGGGAAACCCAGUGUGUUUCGACACACUAUCAUUAACUGAAUCCAUAGGUUAAUGAGGCGAACCGGGGGAACUGAAACAUCUAAGUACCCCGAGGAAAAGAAAUCAACCGAGAUUCCCCCAGUAGCGGCGAGCGAACGGGGAGCAGCCCAGAGCCUGAAUCAGUGUGUGUGUUAGUGGAAGCGUCUGGAAAGGCGCGCGAUACAGGGUGACAGCCCCGUACACAAAAAUGCACAUGCUGUGAGCUCGAUGAGUAGGGCGGGACACGUGGUAUCCUGUCUGAAUAUGGGGGGACCAUCCUCCAAGGCUAAAUACUCCUGACUGACCGAUAGUGAACCAGUACCGUGAGGGAAAGGCGAAAAGAACCCCGGCGAGGGGAGUGAAAAAGAACCUGAAACCGUGUACGUACAAGCAGUGGGAGCACGCUUAGGCGUGUGACUGCGUACCUUUUGUAUAAUGGGUCAGCGACUUAUAUUCUGUAGCAAGGUUAACCGAAUAGGGGAGCCGAAGGGAAACCGAGUCUUAACUGGGCGUUAAGUUGCAGGGUAUAGACCCGAAACCCGGUGAUCUAGCCAUGGGCAGGUUGAAGGUUGGGUAACACUAACUGGAGGACCGAACCGACUAAUGUUGAAAAAUUAGCGGAUGACUUGUGGCUGGGGGUGAAAGGCCAAUCAAACCGGGAGAUAGCUGGUUCUCCCCGAAAGCUAUUUAGGUAGCGCCUCGUGAAUUCAUCUCCGGGGGUAGAGCACUGUUUCGGCAAGGGGGUCAUCCCGACUUACCAACCCGAUGCAAACUGCGAAUACCGGAGAAUGUUAUCACGGGAGACACACGGCGGGUGCUAACGUCCGUCGUGAAGAGGGAAACAACCCAGACCGCCAGCUAAGGUCCCAAAGUCAUGGUUAAGUGGGAAACGAUGUGGGAAGGCCCAGACAGCCAGGAUGUUGGCUUAGAAGCAGCCAUCAUUUAAAGAAAGCGUAAUAGCUCACUGGUCGAGUCGGCCUGCGCGGAAGAUGUAACGGGGCUAAACCAUGCACCGAAGCUGCGGCAGCGACGCUUAUGCGUUGUUGGGUAGGGGAGCGUUCUGUAAGCCUGCGAAGGUGUGCUGUGAGGCAUGCUGGAGGUAUCAGAAGUGCGAAUGCUGACAUAAGUAACGAUAAAGCGGGUGAAAAGCCCGCUCGCCGGAAGACCAAGGGUUCCUGUCCAACGUUAAUCGGGGCAGGGUGAGUCGACCCCUAAGGCGAGGCCGAAAGGCGUAGUCGAUGGGAAACAGGUUAAUAUUCCUGUACUUGGUGUUACUGCGAAGGGGGGACGGAGAAGGCUAUGUUGGCCGGGCGACGGUUGUCCCGGUUUAAGCGUGUAGGCUGGUUUUCCAGGCAAAUCCGGAAAAUCAAGGCUGAGGCGUGAUGACGAGGCACUACGGUGCUGAAGCAACAAAUGCCCUGCUUCCAGGAAAAGCCUCUAAGCAUCAGGUAACAUCAAAUCGUACCCCAAACCGACACAGGUGGUCAGGUAGAGAAUACCAAGGCGCUUGAGAGAACUCGGGUGAAGGAACUAGGCAAAAUGGUGCCGUAACUUCGGGAGAAGGCACGCUGAUAUGUAGGUGAAGUCCCUCGCGGAUGGAGCUGAAAUCAGUCGAAGAUACCAGCUGGCUGCAACUGUUUAUUAAAAACACAGCACUGUGCAAACACGAAAGUGGACGUAUACGGUGUGACGCCUGCCCGGUGCCGGAAGGUUAAUUGAUGGGGUUAGCCGCAAGGCGAAGCUCUUGAUCGAAGCCCCGGUAAACGGCGGCCGUAACUAUAACGGUCCUAAGGUAGCGAAAUUCCUUGUCGGGUAAGUUCCGACCUGCACGAAUGGCGUAAUGAUGGCCAGGCUGUCUCCACCCGAGACUCAGUGAAAUUGAACUCGCUGUGAAGAUGCAGUGUACCCGCGGCAAGACGGAAAGACCCCGUGAACCUUUACUAUAGCUUGACACUGAACAUUGAGCCUUGAUGUGUAGGAUAGGUGGGAGGCUUUGAAGUGUGGACGCCAGUCUGCAUGGAGCCGACCUUGAAAUACCACCCUUUAAUGUUUGAUGUUCUAACGUUGACCCGUAAUCCGGGUUGCGGACAGUGUCUGGUGGGUAGUUUGACUGGGGCGGUCUCCUCCUAAAGAGUAACGGAGGAGCACGAAGGUUGGCUAAUCCUGGUCGGACAUCAGGAGGUUAGUGCAAUGGCAUAAGCCAGCUUGACUGCGAGCGUGACGGCGCGAGCAGGUGCGAAAGCAGGUCAUAGUGAUCCGGUGGUUCUGAAUGGAAGGGCCAUCGCUCAACGGAUAAAAGGUACUCCGGGGAUAACAGGCUGAUACCGCCCAAGAGUUCAUAUCGACGGCGGUGUUUGGCACCUCGAUGUCGGCUCAUCACAUCCUGGGGCUGAAGUAGGUCCCAAGGGUAUGGCUGUUCGCCAUUUAAAGUGGUACGCGAGCUGGGUUUAGAACGUCGUGAGACAGUUCGGUCCCUAUCUGCCGUGGGCGCUGGAGAACUGAGGGGGGCUGCUCCUAGUACGAGAGGACCGGAGUGGACGCAUCACUGGUGUUCGGGUUGUCAUGCCAAUGGCACUGCCCGGUAGCUAAAUGCGGAAGAGAUAAGUGCUGAAAGCAUCUAAGCACGAAACUUGCCCCGAGAUGAGUUCUCCCUGACCCUUUAAGGGUCCUGAAGGAACGUUGAAGACGACGACGUUGAUAGGCCGGGUGUGUAAGCGCAGCGAUGCGUUGAGCUAACCGGUACUAAUGAACCGUGAGGCUUAACCUU
rnacentral:rRNA from 1 species